ensembl:lncRNA
CUCUGUGGUUUUCCUGUGAACAAACUCUACAUCUACACAACUUCUCUACUGAAAUAAUCCUCUGGGUGAAGAUAUUCUGUGAAGUCAGACUAACAGUGAGACUCUCUGAAAAAUGACAUUGUUCAUCCCAGAUAUGACUGCUGGACGUCUGUUUUUUGUCAUCCUCAUUUUCUAUACCUUCCAACAUGUCAAAGCCCAAGACCGUCCUAAGCCCAGUCUGACUCUGAAUCAUGCAGUCAUCAGAGAGAGAGAAUCUAUUCAGCUGAUCUGUGAGACUCCAUCUGUAUCUGUGCCUCAGUGUCACUUCAUCAUAGAGGGGGAACAGAAGUCAUAUCCUUUACCUUGUCAGAGCACACUAACGGGAGAUAAGCUGCUUCACUGGGCAGGUCAAAGUUCACCUGUUGAGGUCAAAAUUCAAUGUUUCUACAUGGUGGAGACAUACUAUCCAUCGACACACAGUGACCCUGUCUCUUUGAGGAUUCUGGAUCACAGAGACCUCCCUCAGCCCAUUCUGACAGUGAAUCCUAAAGUUAUCAGAGAGAGAGACUCAGUUCAGCUGAGCUGUGUGACUCCUCCAUCUCUCUCUGAGUGUCAGUGUGUAUUCUAUGAAGACGGGAGACCUGCUCUUCCAGACACAUCCUGUAAACAGACGGUCACAGGAACUCAGCUGCUUUCUUGGACAGGUCAAAAAUCACCAGCUGUGGUCCAGGUGAUGUGUUACUACAUUGUAGGAAGAUAUCACACAUCUCCUCCCAGUGACCCAGUCAUUGUCACAUUCCAGGACCCUCCUCAGCCCAGUCUGACAGUGAGUCCUUCAGUCAUCAGAGAGAGAGACUCCGUUCAGAUGAUCUGUGAGACUCCAUCUGUAUCUGUGUCAGUGUGUCACUUCAUCAUAGAGGGGGAACAGAUCUCACAUCCUUCACCAUGUCAGAGCACACUAACGGGAUAUCAGCUGCUUCACUGGGCAGGUCAAAUUUCACCUGUUGAGGUCAAAAUUCUAUGUUUCUACAUUGUGGAGACAUACUAUCCAUCAACACGCAGUGACCCUGUCUCUUUGAGGAUUCUGGAUCAACAAGACCUCCCUCAGCCCAAUCUGAUAGUGAUUCCCACAGUUAUCAGAGAGGGAGACUCAGUUCAGCUGAGCUGUGUGACUCCUCAAUCUCUCUCUGUGUCUCAAUGUGUAUUCUAUGAAGACGGGAGACCUGCUCUUCCAGACACAUUCUGUAAACAGACUGUCACAGGAAUUCAGCUGCUUUCUUGGGCAGGUCAAAAAUCACCAGCUGUGGUCCAGGUGAUGUGUUACUACAUUGUAGAAAGAUAUUACCCAUCUCCUUCCAGUGGCCCAGUCAUUGUCACUGUCCAGGGUUUAACCUCUCCUUUCACACCCAGCAUGGCAAUUAAUCAUACAUCAGGUUCCACAGUUAGUACUACUUUGACAAGUGACACCCCAAAGAAAACAACUGUAGGUUCCACAGUUAGUAUUACUUUGACAAGUGACACCCCAAAGAAAACAACUGUAGGUUUGACUGUUAGUUCGACUUUGACAACUGGCAGCUCUCAGAGUUCAACUGAAAGAGUUCAAAGCUCCACAAUAACUGUUGUGGAUUCAAACCAAGAGAGCAAUUUGGUGCAAUCAUUUUGGUUAGCAGCAGUGGGUGUGGGUUCUGGAGUUGGCUUGUUCCUUGUGGGACUGACAGCUGUCUGUCUCUGUAGGAAGACCAAAAGAAACAAAUCUCAGAGACAUCAAGACCAACAAGAUGAUCAUAACCAACAUCCUUUUGGAGAGAACGGACAAUCAUCUGAACAUGAUAAUUAUGAUAUAUAUCACCUGUACAACUCAAUCCCAGACAGAACUGCAGCCUCAGCCCAGACAGAUGGGUUUUACAGUCUUCUGAUGACACACUGAAAUUACAUGACUCACUUUCUGUAGUUACAAUAUCCAAAUGUUUUUGGACAGUGAUAUGUUUUUUUACUCUUUAU